rnacentral:misc_RNA from 1 species
GAAAUGCGAUAAGUAAUGUGAAUUGCAGAAUUCCGUGAAUCAUCGAAUCUUUGAACGCACAUUGCGCCCCCUGGCAUUCCGGGGGGCAUGCCUGUCCGAGCGUCAUUUCUGCCCUCAAGCACGGCUUGUGUGUUGGGUGUGGUCCCCCCGGGGACCUGCCCGAAAGGCAGCGGCGACGUCCGUCUGGUCCUCGAGCGUAUGGGGCUCUGUCACUCGCUCGGGAAGGACCUGCGGGGGUUGGUCACCACCAUAUUUCACCACGGUUGACCUCGGAUCAGGUAGGAGUUAUCCGCUGAACUUAAGC